GAUGAACGCUGGCGGCGUGCCUAAUACAUGCAAGUCGAGCGAACAGACGAGGAGCUUGCUCCUCUGACGUUAGCGGCGGACGGGUGAGUAACACGUGGAUAACCUACCUAUAAGACUGGGAUAACUUCGGGAAACCGGAGCUAAUACCGGAUAAUAUAUUGAACCGCAUGGUUCAAUAGUGAAAGACGGUUUUGCUGUCACUUAUAGAUGGAUCCGCGCCGCAUUAGCUAGUUGGUAAGGUAACGGCUUACCAAGGCAACGAUGCGUAGCCGACCUGAGAGGGUGAUCGGCCACACUGGAACUGAGACACGGUCAAGACUCCUACGGGAGGCAGCAGUAGGGAAUCUUCCGCAAUGGGCGAAAGCCUGACGGAGCAACGCCGCGUGAAUGAUGAAGGUCUUCGGAUCGUAAAACUCUGUUAUUAGGGAAGAACAAAUGUGUAAGUAACUAUGCACGUCUUGACGGUACCUAAUCAGAAAGCCACGGCUAACCACGUG
rnacentral:rRNA from 1 species